rnacentral:rRNA from 1 species
AUUGAACGCUGGCGGCAUGCCUUACACAUGCAAGUCGAACGGCAGCGGACCUUCGGGUGCCGGCGAGUGGCGAACGGGUGAGUAAUAUAUCGGAACGUACCUUUCAGUGGGGGAUAACGUAGCGAAAGUUACGCUAAUACCGCAUAUUCUGUGAGCAGGAAAGCAGGGGAUCGCAAGACCUUGCGCUGAUUGAGCGGCCGAUAUCAGAUUAGCUAGUUGGUGAGGUAAAGGACUCACCAAGGCGACGAUCUGUAGCGGGUCUGAGAGGAUGAUCCGCCACACUGGAACUGAGACACGGCCCAGACUCCUACGGGAGGCAGCAGUGGGGAAUUUUGGACAAUGGGCGCAAGCCUGAUCCAGCCAUGCCGCGUGCGGGACGAAGGCC